UACGUAGGGGCUAGCGUUGUCCGGAAUCAUUGGGCGUAAAGCGCGUGUAGGCGGCUCGAUAAGUCUGCUGUGAAAGCCCAGGGCUCAACCCUGGAAUGCCGGUGGAUACUGUCGAGCUAGAGUCCGGAAGAGGCGAGUGGAAUUCCUGGUGUAGCGGUGAAAUGCGCAGAUAUCAGGAGGAACACCAAUGGCGAAGGCAGCUCGCUGGGACGGUACUGACGCUGAGACGCGAAAGCGUGGGGAGCAAACAGG
rnacentral:rRNA from 1 species